GACGAACGCUGGCGGCGCGCCUAACACAUGCAAGUCGAACGAGCGAGAGAGAGCUUGCUUUCUCGAGCGAGUGGCGAACGGGUGAGUAACGCGUGAGGAACCUGCCUCAAAGAGGGGGACAACAGUUGGAAACGACUGCUAAUACCGCAUAAGCCCACGGCUCGGCAUCGAGCAGGGGGAAAAGGAGCAAUCCGCUUUGAGAUGGCCUCGCGUCCGAUUAGCUAGUUGGUGAGGUAACGGCCCACCAAGGCGACGAUCGGUAGCCGGACUGAGAGGUUGAACGGCCACAUUGGGACUGAGACACGGCCCAGACUCCUACGGGAGGCAGCAGUGGGGAAUAUUGCACAAUGGGGGAAACCCUGAUGCAGCGACGCCGCGUGGAGGAAGAAGGUCUUCGGAUUGUAAACUCCUGUUGUUGGGGAAGAUAAUGACGGUACCCAACAAGGAAGAGACGGCUAACUACGUG
rnacentral:rRNA from 1 species